rnacentral:lncRNA from 1 species
CGCCACUUAGUAUUCUACAUGAAUGGAAAGUGGCGUCAUCUGUUGACCAAAAAAAAAAGUGACUGGGUCAGAUGACGGGGUGAAACGAGCCCUGCCACACGCGAGCCUUUCCACACGCUGAGUCAGCCAGAUGGUGGGGACGACGAUCGGCGGGCUGGGCCGGGCCCAUGAUGCACAUUUUCAAGGAGUCCAAGGCUCGAACCCAGGUAUUCCAAAAUGGAAAACCGAAGCGUUUCCACGCGGCCAAUCCCGUUAAUUUUGAGUUGUUUGUGUUUUAAUUAUUGAUACUCGGGCCUGUUGGUACUAAAAUGUUGCUAUUAUGCGAACCAAUUAAAUUUAUAUCCCAGUCCGUUCAAAUUAUAACAUUUCAGAAAUCUUGAUGAAACUGAUAACGGUAAUAAGGGGAGACGUUAUUAGCAAACAGAGCAAACAAUCGACUAAACUAGCCGUGUGGAAACACUGGCUUUCUAUCUUUGUACGGGUUUUAUUCCGGAUCAUAACUCUUGAAAAAUUUAUUAGGGAAAUCCUCGUCCUCUAUAAGUCGGGUGGUCGACUUGAUCGGAGUCAUUUGUUCUCAUUCCUACAAUUAAAUAGUUGACCGACUGACAAUAGCGUGUGGUCGCUUACCCGUACUCUUCUGGCCAAUUAUUAAUCGAGGAUGGUGAAAUGGCGCCAUCUACUGAUAAAGAAAUAUGGAAAUUAUAUAAAUUUAAAUUUCAUAACGUAUCGAUCGCUAGUUUAUAUGGAUAUAGACUAGAUAAUCAGAAACCAUCAAAUUUCGCUCUUAAAACCUAUAUAUUAAAAAUACUAUUUUUUUAAUAGUUCCAAC